rnacentral:rRNA from 1 species
CCGGCGACCGGCGCACGGGUGAGCAACACGUAUGCAACCUGGCCGCCACAGGGGGAUAACCCGCGGAAACGCGGCCUAAUACCCCGUGACGCCACCGGAGGGCAUCCUCCGGUGGCCAAAGGAGCGAUCCGGUGGCGGAUGGGCAUGCGGCGCAUUAGCUAGACGGCGGGGUGACGGCCCACCGUGGCGACGAUGCGUAGGGGUUCUGAGAGGAAGGCCCCCCACACUGGGACUGAGACACGGCCCAGACUCCUACGGAAGGCAGCAG